UAUGUGAUCGUCUCUCGCAUAUCAAUAAGCGGAGGAAAAGAAACUAACAAGGAUUCCCCUAGUAACGGCGAGUGAAGCGGGAAGAGCUCAAAUUUGAAAUCUUAAAGGGUUUCCCUUUACGAAUUGUAGUUUAAAGAAGCGUUUUCUGUUGAGGUUUUGGUAAAAGUUCUUUGGAAUAGGACAUCAUAGAGGGUGAGAAUCCCGUAUUUGACCUUUACUUUCAACUUUGUGAUACACUUUCAAAGAGUCGGAUUGUUUGGGAAUGCAGUCCAAAAUGGGUGGUAAAUUUCAUCUAAAGCUAAAUAUUGGCGAGAGACCGAUAGCGAACAAGUACCGUGAGGGAAAGAUGAAAAGAACUUUGAAAAGAGAGUUAAACAGUACGUGAAAUUGUCAAAAGGGGAAGCGUUUGACACCAGUGUUGUUUUUCUGAAAAUCAAUUAAAGAACUGUUUAUGCUAAGUUGUUUAGACUUUAUCAGCUAUCUGCUUAGUUUUGAGCUUUUCUUUAAUGCACUUUUCAGUUAACAAGUCAACAUCAAUUUCUUUUGCUGUAAAAAAGCUUGAGGAAGGUGGCUUGAGAUUCGUCUUAAGUGUUUAUAGCCUCUUGCCUAUGCAGUCGGAGAGAUUGAGGUCUGCAGCGUAGAUCCUUCGGGGCUAAAUGCAUUUGUGCUAAGUUAUAGCAUUUUAUAGACAACUUGUUGACUAUGAUUUGUCUUGUAGCUUACUCGCUUAUGUUAUUUUACCUACGCUUAGGAUGUUGAAGUCAUCGUAUCGCG
rnacentral:rRNA from 1 species